CCUACGGGAGGCAGCAGUGAGGAAUAUUGGUCAAUGGACGAGAGUCUGAACCAGCCAAGUAGCGUGAAGGAUGACUGCCCUAUGGGUUGUAAACUUCUUUUAUAUGGGAAUAAAACGUUCCACGUGUGGGAUUUUGUAUGUACCAUAUGAAUAAGGAUCGGCUAACUCCGUGCCAGCAGCCGCGGUAAUACGGAGGAUCCGAGUGUUAUCCGGAUUUCUUGGGGUUAAAGGGUGCGUAGGUGGAUUGUUAAGUCAGUUGUGAAAGUUUGCGGCUCAACCGUAAAAUUGCAGUUGAAACUGGCAGUCUUGAGUACAGUAGAGGUGGGCGGAAUUCGUGGUGUAGCGGUGAAAUGCUUAGAUAUCACGAAGAACUCCGAUUGCGAAGGCAGCUCACUGGACUGCAACUGACACUGAGGCUCGAAAGUGUGGGUAUCAAACAGGAUUAGAUACCCCAGUAGUC
rnacentral:rRNA from 1 species